GCGGUUUGGAGUGAGGGUAGCACUUUUAACUGAAGGCUGUGCGGGCCGCUGCGGCACUGGUCUUGGCGUCCAGCCCGGCGUCUGGGUGUGAGUCCGGGGCUGCGCCAGGUCUUGGUCCCCGGGAAAUGGACCGUGUGUGGAGGGCGUGGUGCGGAAAGUGCACCAAAGGGAAAGAAGAAGCGUCGUCACUCUGGGCGCAGCGCAUCGUGGUCGCCUGGCUCAGUAAGGCCGAGUGGGACCAGGUGAUGGUGUAUCUGUUCUGUGACGACCAUAAGUUGCAGCGGUAUGCGCUCAACCGCAUCACCGUGUGGAGAAGCAGGUUAGGCAACGACCUCCCCCUGGCAGUGGCUUCUACCGCUGACCUGGUACGCUGUAAGCUCAUGGAUAUGACUGGUGGCUUGGGAACUGAAGAACUUAGUCUGCUCUAUGGCAUGGCAUUAGUCAGGUUUGUGAAUCUUAUCUCAGAGAGGAAGACAAAGUUUGCCAAGCUUCCCCUCAAGUUCCUGGCUCAAGAGGUAAACAUUCCGGAAUGGAUUGUUGAACUUCGCCAUGAGUUGACCCACAAGAAAAUGCCCCACAUAAAUGCCUGCCGCAGAGGCUGCUACUUUGUCCUGGAUUGGCUCCAGAAGACCUAUUGGUGCCGCCAGCUGGAGAACAGCCUCAGAGAGACCUGGGAGUUGGAGGAGGACAGGGAAGAAACAGAUGAAGAGGACCGAGAGGAAAAUAAAGAAGUUGUGGAAGACAUAACAGAACAGACACCAGUGCCUAAGGAUGAAGUGAAAGAUGCCAAGCAGGAUAUCAGGGCUGAUGGAGACAGCAAAGAUAGUAAAGAGGUGGAUCCACAUUGGGAAAAGGCUCUGAGACGUAAAGAGCUAUAUGAAAAAGCCAGAGAACUGCUGGUGUCUUAUGAAGAAGAGCAAUUUAAGGUGCUAGAGGAAUUUAGGCAUUUACCUCAAGCCGUUAAGGUGUGGAAUAAACUGAGCCCACGUGUAGAAUGCAUCCUGGUAGAGCUCAAGGGCAUAACACUAGAGAACAGUGAGGCUGUGCUGGAUGCUUUUCUGGAUGACGGCUUCCUCAUCCCCACAUUUGAGCAGUUGGCAGCUUUGCAGAUAGACUACGAAGAUGGGCAGACUGAGGUCCAGAGAGGGGAAGGUACUGACCCAAAGUCACACAGUGUCCCUCACAAACCAGAAAACGUGGACUUGAAUGACGUCCUGGUGCCAAAGCCGUUCUCUCAAUUCUGGCAGCCCCUGCUCAGGGGUCUGCACUCCCAGACCUUCACGCAGGCCCUGCUGGAGAGGAUGCUCUCCGAGCUGCCAGCCUUAGGGGACAGCGGAAUCCGGCCCACCUACAUCCUCAGCUGGAUCAUUGAACUGAUUGUGGCCAACACCAAGACUGGACGGAAUGCCCGUCGCUUUUCUGCAAGCCAUUGGGAAGUGAGAAGAAGUUGGAGGCUGUUCAGCUGCCCUGCGUCCCUUGACUGGCCCCGGGUGAUUGAGUCCUGCUUGGGCUCACCUUGCUGGGCCAGCUCCCAACUCCUUCAGCUCAUCUUCAAAGCCAUGGGGCCAGUCCUUCCAAAUGAGGACCAGGAGAAGCUGCUGCACAUCUGCUCCAUUUAUACCCAGAGUGGAGAAAACAGCCCGGUGCAAGAGGGUUCAGAGGCCUCCCCCAUCGGGAAGUCUCCAUACACACUGGACAGCCUGUACUGGAGCAUCAAACCAGAUGGUUCCAGCUUUGGGUCUGAAGGUCAGGCCCAGCUGCAAGAGGAGCAGGGCAGCCUGAAUGAUGACAAGGAAGUUGAAGAAGAGGAAGAGAAAGAGUUCUUAGAAGACCAGAUGGGGGAAGAGGAAGAUGAUGAUCAGGAGGAUGAGGAGGAGAAUGAGGAGCUAUAUGAGGAGGAGGAGGAGGAUGAAGAUGAUGAUGAUGAUGAAGAUGAUGAAGAAGAAGACAGAAUGGAGGUGGGGUCUUUCUCUACUGGGGAGGAGUCCCCCACUGCUGAGAAUGCCAGGCUCCUGGCCCAGAAGAGAGGAGCUUUGCAGGGCUCAGUGUGGCAAGUUAGCUCGGCAGAUGUUCAAUGGGACACAUUCCCCUUAGGCCGAAUGCCAGGUCAGACAGAGGACCCAUCGGAGCUUAUGCUGGAGAAUUAUGAUACCAUGUAUCUUUUGGACCAGCCUGUGCUAGAGCAGCGGCUGGAACCCCCAAUGUGCAAGACUGGCACCCUGGACCUGAGUUGUGGCAUCGGCAGUGCCAACUGCAGCAACAGCAGAAGCAACUCCGAGAGCCUCCUCUGGAGCCAGGGACAGCUGCAUGGGCUCAAAACUGGCUUGCAGCUCUUCUGAUGGAAUGCCCUGGUGCAAGUGUUCAUCCAACCCUACUGGGGCAAUAGCACCCCUCCCCCCCAGUGUACCUGAUGUUCCAUGAAACAACCUGGGAGACAGCCUAAGACAGCCCAUCUUAGCUCACCUUUCCCCCACAGUGGAAUUUUGUUUGCUCCACUAUGUGGCCAGCUCACUUGGAAGCAGCAGGCCCCAGAGAAGAGGCAUUGCUGGCCACAGCCCAGCCAGCAGCCGGGGAUCUGCUAAGAACCCUCCUUAACAGUAGGAAGAUCCAGGCCUUCCUGCUGCUACCCAGAAGGCUUCUGGCUCACUGCACCAAACAGCAGGUGAAAAGCCAAGGAGAAACCUUUUUUUGUCACCUCUCUACUCCCUUGGCCUAGAAAAGAUAGACUUCCUGGUGGUGGGCAUUGGAGCCAGGGAAAUGUCUUAGAACUGGCCCAGAGCACCUUUUCUCUGGUUAUCCUCAGACAUUCAGAGUGCCAACCUUGUGUCAGCCCUGAGCUGCCAGGAGACAGGGAUGAGUAAAACAUAUUUUAACUUACCUCAGAGCUCUUAGCCCAUUGAUAAAGGGCUAAGGUCACCUGAUGCCUCUGCUAAGUGCCUUUAAAGGAGUUCCGGGGUGGUGAUUGUGAAAUCUGAAGUCACCUCUGUGGCUACAGCAUCCCCCAUCCUCCUCUGGAGCGAGUGAUAGGUGGGUGAGACAGUGGGGCCAUGUGUAGGCCCAGACAGGGGAAGCAAGGGACAGAAUCAGGCAGCAUUCCAGCCAAGAAACAGGCCCAGGAAAUGUGGCUGAGCCAAGGAAUGAUGAAAGGCUAAUGCUUUGAAAAUGCCGAGGAAUUAAUUGGAACUGUCAUGCCAGUGCCCUGUCAAGAGUUUUAACUUGAGAACUUGGGACACCUAGGUAAUCCACACACUUUUGAAAGGUAUCUGUGGGUGUGUGUAUAUAGUCAUUUUUCUAGGGAGCUGGUCUGUAGAUUUUAUCAGAUUAAGGGUUAAGAUGUUCUGGCCUGUGUGGACCCAAGCAUUGGGCAUAGGCAAAGCAAAUAACUUAUUUAUCAGUUAAUGCAAAGUCAGUUUCCCUCCAGCUCUUCCCUCUCCCCUAAUAAUGGCAAAUGCUAAAUGUCUUUUAGGAUCCUGGAAUGUUAGAGCUGGAAGUGCCCUCCAAGAUCAUCUGGGCCACAUCUAGUCAAGGGACUUGCAAGUGUGUCCUCUGAGAGGCAUCUCAGAGCCUGAUCUAUGGGGAGAAGGGAGAUAAAGUUGCACACUCAGUUCCCAUCCACCACUUCUCCAGAGCAGCCUUGAUUUUAUCUGUUGUUUACAUAAGAUUUCUUAUGAAAACAUGGGUUUUGCUGUUAAAGAAAGAAGUCUGGAAAUCACAGUUCUAGUCUACCCCCCACAUUUUAUUUAUCAAGACACUGAGGCAUACAUACAGGGAAAGGAUUUGCCCAAGGUCACAGAGCAAGUUAAUCACAACAUCACUAUCACCUUGUUAGAAAUGCAAAUUAUUGAACCCCACUGCUGACCUGAAUCAGAAAGGGUGAGAGUGGCAGCAAUCUAUGUUUUAAUAAGCCCUUCAGGUGAUUCUUAUGCACACUAAAGUUUGAGAUCCGCUGAUACUGAGGAAAAAGCUGCCCAAAGACCUGGGUUCCAGGGAAGCGCUACCACUUAACAGGUGCAGCCUUGGGCAAAUAAUGCCACAGUUCCCUCAUCUGUAGAAUGAGGGUAAUAUUUGCCUUGCAGGCGUGUAUGGACCAAAAAAGAUGAUAGGAAAGUGCUCUCUAGAGUAUCAGGCUUUGUAUGUAUGAGUGAUCCAGAUCCAUCCAUGCCUGGGUUGUGUGGCCUUGAACUCAGGACUCAGGUCUUCAUGUACCAAGGCCAACGUGCUUUCCUUUGGCCUUCAAAGACUGAUCUAAAGGCAAGGAACAGAGCACCUGUGUUCGUUUCUAGUCCAUGUUCGGAGAGAGUAAGAGCCAAGAAUGAUUGUUGGCUUGAGUCUGCCUAAAACCUGGGAGUUGUGAAGCCAGGCCCCUAAAGAAGUGUUGCUUCAGACGGAGGCACUACCAGGAAGCAACCUCAGACCUUUUCCUUCUUGAUUGGAGAUCAGAGACUGAUUAGAGAAAAGUCUUUGAACUGCGCACCUUGAAUUGGGAAACAGAAGUAGGAACAGGGAUGGGGGUCAAGGGAUGGGAGCAUGGAUUAUAUUAUUCAACAACAGUAUUCAAUAGCUCUGAUAGGAGAUACUUUAUCAGUGAAUAACCUGGUUCCUGCCCUCAAGGAACUCCCUGUAUUGUGAGGAAGACUGCAUGCAAACAUAAUUAUAACAGUGACAAGUGCUGAGAUAGAGGUAUUGUUCAAGAUGCCUGCGGGGCCCAUUGUGGGGAAGGACUAAAACUGGACAAGGAGGUGGAACAACUUAAUAGAGGACAUUGGGCACUAGGUCUUCUAAGGCAAGAGUUUACUAGUCUUAGUAAACAAGGAGUAGAAGGAAGGUAAAAGUCGAGGAGUUGAGAAAGAGCAUGACAUGUUGGGGCACCAGUGAAGGAUAAUUGGGACAUGGGUUAUGUGAAGGACUUGGAAGGUUAUGAGGCCAGAGAGAGAGAAGCUGAAAAAUGGUAUGAUCAGACUAGUUGAUUUUCCACCAAUUCAGCAUUGGACACUGAAUUGUUCCUUCUUGGAAUUUUAACUAUCCUCAUGCUGCCACUGCCCUCCAGAUCUUCGUUUAUUAUAUUCUCUGAGUGUGCUUCAUUCUUCCACUAGAGUGCAAGUUCCCCCAGACAGAAACUGUUUCUUCCUCUUCUGUCUCCCUAGCUGAGUAUAGGCCAAAGCCCCUAUUUGGUACUCAAUAUGAGCUUGAUACAUAUUAUGUCUGAGGAUGUGAGACGAAGAACAGCAAGAGGUAAAAGAGACGGAGGAGGGGAAGGGGAGAGAUGAGUACUCUUAGAGGAUGAUAAAAAGAGAUAGAUGUUCUCAGAUUCACUAGCAGCUUAUUCCAAAGGCUCCAAGGCUGGUCUCUGCUGCAGCCAUUGUGGCCACCUCUGCCUUUAGAGAAUAAGACUGUCCUGGAGUAGGGGUGGAUGGGUAGGAGGCUCCAGGGCCUGAUGGAAGAACAGGCACCACAGUGAUAAAGGGCCCACUGGCCUAGGAGUGAUAAAGGGCCCACUGGCUUGGGCUUCCAGUCCUGGUUUUGCCACUAACUCCCUGUGUGGCCUUGGUCAAAUCUCUUCAGCUCUUGGAGCCUCAGUUCCUGCACCUAAAACCUGAAGGGGUUGGUGCAGCUGAGCAUUCCACGAGGGACUUCUUUGUGAAACGUAUGGGUGGCUAAGGCCCCUUCUAACUCUGAUGUGGCUAAGGCCCAGCAGAUAAGUGUCUGUGGCCCUGAGGCUAUUCAGGGUAGAAACUGUACAGAAAUAAGCCUAGGCCUUGAGCCCUCCCCUUGGUUCUAACCCACCAGUGGAGGUCCAGCCUGGCCCUGUGGGAAACAACAGUUUGACUAGCACUUGGGGCUUUGUUAGUACACAAAAAUUAGAGGUCAUAUGCUUACUGUAAUAAAAUUCAGGGAGAUCCCUGCCCUUAUAGCUUAUCUCAAGAUGUAAAUCCCAAGGGCAGAAACUUAAUUUUUUAGGAGCAAACUGGAGUAUGUGCAUAUGUAUGUGUGGUAUGGCUUUUGUUGAUGUUCUUAAAGAAAUAGAGCCACUAGAUGUUAGUAUACAAAUAGUUUAUGCAAUAAAUAAAGUGUGGUUACAGCUCAUUGUCAACGAUACAGCAUUUUCCAACAUGAUUUCGGUGAAACAAAUUCAACAUGAUUUUGGUGAAACAAAUUAAAACUUCAUGAAGUAGUCAUAGCACAUUCAUGCUAGCCAGAGCAAAUUGCUGACAUUAGGCAAAGCAACUGCACGCGCAUUAUAGUGGUAGACAAAACGGGACAGGAUAUAUUUUCACUCACCUCUGGUUGGUUUUAUGUUUUUUUUGUCAUUGAGACUUACAUUAUGUUUGGGUCAAACAAAAAACCCAAAGAGGUUUUAUAAAAGUUUACACCAUUAAACAGUACUGUUUAAUCCCACAAAUAGAUAAAGCAAACUACUAUAGCUCAAUAAUACACAAACCAGGACUAAAAAUAGUCAAUCUACCUAUGUGUACAGCUAGCUACGGUACAAUAGAUAUUGAAUAUGCUGAGUCUUUACAAAAGCAUUAACUACUCUAGACAAGCAGGUUCCAGAAAUAUACUGGUUUGGUUUUCAAUGAGAACUAACUGUAGUGCUAUUUUGUUUGAAGACUACGCACUCCUCAGUGUCAGACCUGAGGAGAAACAAACUAGGGGAAGGCAGAGAAGGGUUAAGAGGAGACUUGAGCAGGGCUGUUUGGAAAGCUCCGCAUUACUUUCCCUGUGCAGUUCUGGACCUGGUUCAAAGAGUAAAACAAAGUAUAUUGAAACUGUUGGCCCCCAAAAAGGGCAUUUGUACAAAGUCCCAUACUUACAGCAUAGAUAGAAUGGCAACUGAGUACCUCUCAAGAUGAACUUUCCUAUGCCAAAGGUUAAUGGAUAUCAAUAUUGAAUAACUAUAAAGAUAUUAAUAAUUUAUUCUAAACUAGAAAAAUGGAUUUUAGAAGUAUUCUCCUGGAAAUUAGCAUCAUGCUAUGUGUUUCAUUACUUAGAAGAAGAAAAGUUUUGUAGACCAUUUCCAUAAGGCAUAUGUCAUUUUCCCUUCCAUACUUCGCACCUUAAAAGAGAGUGCAAUGGCUUUAUGUUUUUGGAAGGGCUCCUUUUCCUUUGAGUUGCUUACAGAAUGGGUGUCCCGGAAUGACCAUAUCACUCAAGAGUCAAACUUCUUCAGGUCGAAAUAACAAGAAGAACAAGAUCACAAAAUCAACAGAAUCUAAGCUCUGAACAGGCUCAGACUUGCUAUGAGGUCAAAAAAUCAGUGAAAGAAUUAGGAUUACAAAGCACCUCAUGCAAAGCACACUACAUCUUGAAAACCACACAAAACACUAUGCAGUAAACCUUGCUGAGUGCUUGUAUGGUAAGAAUCCUGAAGGACACAUGCUUAACCACAUGAAGGAAACUUGAUUUUAUUAUCAAGGGAGCCAAGGGACCCAAUGCUUCUUUGUAUUUGCUAUUUUAUAAAUACAGGCAAAACAGAAGAAUAAAGAAAUGUGCAGAAUUUUGUAUUUUAUGCAUGAUUAUUCUGUAAACCCACAACUUCUCUAAUAUAAAUAAAUAAAUAAAUAAAAGGAAUGGAACCAGCUACAGAAAAAUAAAGAAAU